rnacentral:rRNA from 1 species
UACAGAGGGGGCAAGCGUUGUUCGGAAUUACUGGGCGUAAAGGGCGCGUAGGCGGCCUUCUAAGUCGAACGUGAAAUCCCCGGGCUCAACCCGGGAACUGCGUCCGAUACUGGGAGGCUUGAAUCCGGGAGAGGGAUGCGGAAUUCCAGGUGUAGCGGUGAAAUGCGUAGAUAUCUGGAGGAACACCGGUGGCGAAGGCGGCAGCCUGGACCGGCAUUGACGCUGAGGCGCGAAAGCCAGGGGAGCAAACGGG